GGACGAUACAAAUGGCGACCAUGCGCCCAUGAAGUCAAUAGCGUGGUGUUCAUGAAGUUGACAUCCCUCUUCAACAUCAGUAGGUGAAGCUUGAAGAACAUUUUUCAGGAAUUUGGACGACUGCCUUCUGCAGCAUAUUUUGGACGUACAUUCUGAGCUCCAAAUUUUGGGAGGGCCUGCUGACGUCACCUACGGAAGACUGGAAGCAAUUUCAUACGAGCCGGAGUCACUGACACGCCGCCGACUGACUGCACACUCAAUUAGCCGUCAACCUUUCCCGGGCCGGCACAAGGAGAUGGGGGCGAGUUCAUCCAAGCGUUCCAACCUAUGGCAGCCAGAAGAGCUGGAAGCAAUACACAGACUUGAGGAUAGCUGGUGGAAUUCCAAGUUGUUCGACCACUAAACCGUGGGGGUCCUGAGGGUGAUGUUAACCUGCAUUCUUCAGUCAUUCGAAUCCAAAGAGAACACCAAAGGUAUGAAAAGUGAAGAAAGGAAGAAAUAAAUCCGGGCGAUGAUGAAUAAUUUGAAUGUGGAAAUGAAGCCGUUUGGAGAGAUACACCGCACAAGGAGCAGCCAUGGGAGAAUUCCUGAUUUCGCUGUGAAGUACGAGGGCGAGCCGAGGCAGGAAGCGGUACGGCUCAGGACCGAGCGCCGUCUCAUCAUUUAUGUAAAAAUGCCACUUUUUUUUUCUCCCCUCCCAAAUUAAAGGCAGACUAUUCUCU